rnacentral:tRNA from 1 species
AGCCCCGGAGCCCUUUAAGGGCUCGUCUUCAAAUUUGCAUUUUGAUGUGAAACACUUCAGGACU